CUUCCCAUUGAUUUGCUGCUCUGGUCUCACAGUGCUACGAGCAGUUAUACGCAUGGGAUAGAAGAAACGUGGACCCUUGUACAUGGAGGUGGGCUGACAGUGCCACCUCCCCUACGUGGUCUAGACAUUG